UCAAAAAAAAACUAUCUUCCACGGACCUGUAGGAUGUUGCAUCGCAUCAUUAAUAUAAUAACCCAUUGAUCACGAUUGUAGAUCUAAAGGCCUAUAUUCACGAAAUUUUUUGGAGGAUCUCAAGGAGGACAUCUUGCGUAAUCAGCACAUCUACAGGAAAAUCUUCCAUUGACCUGUAGGUUGUUGCAUCGUCUCAAUAAUAUAAUAACAACCUAUUGAUCACGCUUGUACAUCACUCGCGGAAGUUCUUAAAGGACCUACAACAUCUUUGAAAACUAGGGUAGGACGGGGCAAGAUGAGCACCCCUCCGUUAUACUACUUUUAUGAUGUAUUUUGCCCAAACAACUUCAUAAUCCGUUAGAAUAUACUUCAUCCUGUUUGUAAACCUGAUAAAAGGUACUUCAUAAUAAACGAAUUAAAAAGUAUCAUCAAAUUAGUCAUAGCAUGGAUUUUUAGCAUUUUAUUAUAAGAAAUCAUCAGAAUAAAAUAAUGUCAAAAGAAAUUUUUUACCAUAAUUCUGGUUAUCAGCCAAUAUUAAUAGCUUAUUGCAAAGCAUUGUGAUAUCUUUCCAGAUAUCAACUGCUCGAGUCUACUGUUAAAUAAAAACUGUCUUUAUUUCAAUCUACAAGUUUAAAAAUCACUUAAUUCUACAUACAUAGAUUUGUUCUCUACACAAUACUUAUCCUAGUGGGAGGUGAGAGAGAGAGAGAGAGAGAGAGAGAGAGAGAGAGAGAGAGAGAGAGAGAGAGAGAGAGAGAGAGAGAGAGAGAGAGAGAAA